GGUGAACCUAAUAUGCACCAAUUUUAGGUGGUGUAAUUUUACACCACCUACUUUGACUGGGUAUAGCAGGUCAACACAUUAUUUUUUUAAAGAAAAAAUAUCAUUAAAAAUUUGUUAUACAUUAAAUUUCUUUAAAAAAAGAUGUGUUGACCUAUUAUAGCAGGUUAAAAAAAGUGGUCUAAAAUUAGACCACUUUAAAAGUGGUCCACAUUAGGGGUCACCUAACAUUGACAAAGAGAUAAAUAGACCAAAAAAAAAAGAAGAAUAAAAUUAUCAUACGUUGCUCCUUCUCCUUCAACCCUAAUGACC
rnacentral:lncRNA from 1 species